GAUGAAGAACGCAGCGAAAUGCGAUACGUAAUGUGAAUUGCAAAUUCAGUGAAUCAUCGAGUCUUUGAACGCACAUUGCGCCCCCUGGUAUUCCGGGGGGCAUGCCUGUCCGAGCGUCAUUGCUGCCCUCAAGCACGGCUUGUGUGUUGGGCCCCGUCCUCCGAUCCCGGGGGACGGGCCCGAAAGGCAGCGGCGGCACCGCGUCCGGUCCUCGAGCGUAUGGGGCUUUGUCACCCGCUCUGUAGGCCCGGCCGCCGCUUGCCGAUCAACCCAAAUUUUUAUCCAGGUUGACCUCGGAUCAGGUAGGGAUACCCGCUGAACUUAAGCAUAUCAAUAAGCGGAGGA
rnacentral:misc_RNA from 1 species